rnacentral:tRNA from 1 species
AAAAAAUUAGUUAAAUUUAUAAUAUAAAUAUGUCAUAUUUAAGUAAUUAGAGUAAUAAUAUUUUUUG